CCUACGGGAGACAGCAGUGAGGAAUAUUGGUCAAUGGCCGGAAGGCUGAACCAGCCAUGCCGCGUGAAGGUCAGUGCCCUAUGGGCGUUAAACUUCUUUUGUGCGGGAGCAAUAAUGGUCACGUGUGGCCAGACGAGAGUACCGUACGAAUAAGCAUCGGCUAACUCCGUGCCAGCAGCCGCGGUAAUACGGGGGAUGCAAGCGUUAUCCGGGUUUAUUGGGUUUAAAGGGUGCGUAGGCUGUGAGGUAAGUCAGCGGGGAAAUGCCCCCGCUCAACGGGGUGAAGUGCCAUUGAUACUGCCUUGCUGGAAUGCGGAUGCCGUGAGAGGAAUGUGUGGUGUAGCGGUGAAAUGCAUAGAUAUCACACAGAACACCGAUUGCGAAGGCAUCUCACGAAUCCGCGAUUGACGCUGAUGCACGAAAGCGUGGGUAUCAAACAGGAUUAGAUACCCUUGUAGUC
rnacentral:rRNA from 1 species